UGGUACAGGAGCCCCUCGGAUGGCGCAU
rnacentral:sRNA from 1 species